GACGAACGCUGGCGGCGGGCUUAACACAUGCAAGUCGAACGGAAAGGCGCUGCUUUUGUGGGGUGCUCGAGUCGCAAACGGGUGAAUAACCCGGGAGUAACCUGCCCUUUGCUGUGUGAUAACUUCAGGAGACCGGUGCUAAUACCGGAGAGGAGCUCCUGCUGCAGGGGGGGGUUUGGAAAUCUUCGGCGGUUGUGGGUGGACUCGGGGGUUAUCAGCUUGUUGGUGGGGUAGUGGCUUACCAUGGCUUUGACGGGUAGCCGGCCCGAGAGGGUGGACAGGGACAAUGGGCCUGAGAUACGGAGCAGAGUCGUACGGGAGGCAGCAGGGGAGAAUAUGAUACAAUGGGGGGGAGCGUGAUGCAGCAGCGCCGGGUGCGGGAUGAAGGCCUUCGGGUUGUGAACCGCUUUCGGCUGUGACGAAGCGUGAGUGACGUUAAUGGGUAAAGAAGCACCGGCUAACUACGUG
rnacentral:rRNA from 1 species